rnacentral:sRNA from 1 species
GUCUCUCUUUGCCUUCAUGCCUGAGUUCUACCUGAGCGUGGCCAUCAACAGCUACAGUGCUCUCAAGAAUUACUUUGGUCCCGUGCACAGCAUGGAGGAGCUCCCAGGCUAUGAAGAGACCCUGACCCGCCUGGCUGCCAUUCUCGCCAAACACUUUGCCGACACACGCAUUGUGGGCACUGACAUCCGAGACUCACUGAUGCAGGCCCUGGCCAGCUACGUGUGCUACCCACACUCCCUGCGGGCUGUGGAGCGAAUCCCCGAGGAGCAGUGAGUGGGGCCUGGGGGGCACACACCCUGGCCACGAGCACCAUGCCCAGCCUCACCCCGUCUCUCCCCUCCUUGCCCUCACAGGCGUAUCGCCAUGGUGAGGAACCUCCUGGCGCCCUAUGAGCAGCGGCCCUGGGCCCAGACCAACUGGAUCCUGGUGCGGCUCUGGAGGGGCUGUGGCUUCGGGUACCGCUAUACACGGCUGCCACAUCUGCUGAAAACCAAACUUGAGGACGCCAAUUUGCCCAGCCUCCAGAAGCCCUGCCCCUCCACCCUGCUGCAGCAGCACAUGGCGGACCUCCUACAGCAGGGUCCUGAUGUGGCACCCAGCUUCCUCAACAGCGUCCUCAAUCAGCUCAACUGGGCCUUCUCUGAAUUCAUUGGCAUGAUCCAAGAGAUCCAGCAGGCUGCUGAGCGCCUGGAGCGGAACUUUGUGGACAGCCGGCAGCUCAAGGUAUGUGCCACCUGCUUUGACCUCUCGGUCAGCCUGCUGCGUGUCUUGGAGAUGACUAUCACACUGGUGCCUGAGAUAUUCCUUGACUGGACCCGGCCUACCUCUGAGAUGCUGCUGCGGCGUCUUGCACAGGUGUGGCCAUCUGGGCAACAAGGGUGGGACCCU